rnacentral:tRNA from 1 species
AGUGUGUUAGAAUACCGGCCUGUCACGCCGGGGGUCGCGGGUUCGAGUCCCGUCCGCUCCG